CGGUCCUGUAGGAAAAAGUCAAUGACAUUUUAUCUUUAAAGGGAAUCUGCAUGCUGUAGGUUGUAUCAGAUAAUAAUGUUGCUAGUUACACUGAAAAUCAAAUCAUGGUAUUCUGUUGUCCAUCUGGACCAGAUACCUCUCAACCAGUCCAGAUUAUCUUGCUCAGAACCAGAACACAAAGAGAACCCAAGUGAUCACUGGUAAGGACAGUGGGCUGGCACCUAUAACAUCACCCCUAGCAACAAACCCUAGCAACAAAGAAGCUAGGAGAAAUACUAGUGUCACAGAUGUAGGAGGGCAGCAAGAGCCUGUGGAGAACCAGCACUGCUAGGCAACAGCAAACAGCAUUACAGAUAGGCAGGCGGUGUCAGCUCCCGAAGAGCGAGUAAGGCACGAUCACAGCUCGAGACCCCACCGUCCGGAGCAAUGAGCCAUGACACCACGCUAUGCUGACGAGAAAGGGUCAGGCACGGGCUGACAGCUCUAAAACGGCAAUCAGCACAGUUACAGAUGUGAGCACACAGUGACACUGGGAACGGACUCCCUGAAAUCCCAGUGCUCCCGUACAAUAGAAGUAAGAACCCCCAGGACAUGGGCAGUCUUAAGAAGACUCUUGGUACACUGUUUAUACCAUACUCAACAUAUAUGGCUUAGGAUGUUCUCUGCCAAGGAGCAGCUCUACAUUCAGAAAAAAAAAAUGCCAACGUUUGGAGAAAAAGGUUAUUAAGGAGAAGAAAUGAGAAUGUCAACAAAAUACAAAGGCCAAUCCUACAGGUGAACUCUCCUGGUCCAUGUUCAAGACUUCAGGAAUGAACAGCAACACAGGCUUCCCGUUACCUUGUCUAUGGUGAGCAUGUAAAAGUGAGUGAUGUCAUUCUCAUGUGCAUAUUUGAUUCUUGCCAUACACUCCUCUUCAUCAAUCAGUUCGCCAACAUACUCAUUAACAAAUUCUCCCUGGAAAUCAGAAGAAUAUCAUAACUGAGUAUAUACUGAACAAUUCUCACAAUCAGGGUCCAAGACACCAGGACACUAUCGAUCAAUACCAAAUGACCUCGUAGGUAUCUUAUAAAUAAGAUUGCCAGUGGCAAAUAUAUCAUGGUUUUCUCAAAGUAGCAACAUUCCAUAUUGCUUUUACAAUGUCUUGCCUGUUAGGAACAUAUCUGGUCCAUAUAAGUAAUCAUUACAUGCAGAGUCCCCUACCCACCCACCAAAGGAAAGAGGUUAUGAAGACCUUGACAGGCAGGUUCUACAGCAAAUCUACAUGAAGCAACAGUGGUGACAGCCAAGGAAGAAGGCUAGAGAAGGGUAUGUCUAAGUAGUCCUUUAAAAAAACAUGGCUGGCAACGAAUGCUACAGGGCAUGCACUAUCCAUGCUGGACCCACUCUGGUCAUGGACCCUGAGUCUGAAACUACUGGUCCCUACAUCAUGAAAAAGCACUUCAGGGCCAGUUUGUAACAAGGUAAACAACAACUGCACUUGUGUCUCUAUGAAGGGGAUAUACUGGCAAGUGACUCUGAAAGCAGAAACAGGGUUAAAAGAAAUUAACCCUCUCACCAAUGAAUUUAUCUAUUUUAUGUAUACGGUGUUUUGCCUGAAUAUAUGUCAUGUGUACACCUCAUGUGCUUGGUGUCCUUGGAGGCCAGAAGAGGACAUUAUACUCCCUGGAACUGGAGUUACAGGUGAUUGACAGCCACCGUGUGGGUGCUGAGAACAGAACCCAGGUCCUUUGAAAGGAACAACUAGUGCUCUUAGUCACUGAGACAUCUUCCCAGUCCUGCCAAUGAAUUUUUUGAUAUCUAAUUCAUACUAGAUUAUGCUGAGACAAUGUCAAAUAGUGAUGCCUCCUUAGCUCUUGCAGGAUAGCCUGAGCACCUGACUGCCAGUCUGAGGAAAAGCAAUCCUUUCACAGACUCUUUUCCUAGAGGCAAGCAUUAUAAUUCCGACCUAAGACAUGCUUCAAGGAUAUUUAUUAGUAUUAACUUUGAUAGAAGUUAUUUUUAAAACUGGUUUUGUUGCUUUGGUUGGUUUUUUUUUCUUUUUGAGGGGUGAUGGGAGUCUCCACUGUGUUGCCCUGCCUGGCCUGGAACUUACAACAAAGACUAUACUGUCCUUUAACUCAAGAGAGAUCUGCCCGCCUUUGCCACAUACCAGGUUUGUACCCUCAUGCAUACUUACAACUUUCAACUAUAAUAAUUAAAUCUGAACACCACUUAAAAUAUUUUAUACAAAUGCAAAAACAAAACACCCCCGCACACAAUAAGCAGGGAGCCGUUAAUUCUUAUAAGGGGAAGGGAGGGUUAGUGAGAUGAUCCAGUAGGGAAAGACCUUGCCACUAAGCCCUAUGACCUGAGAGAACGGACUCCCAAACGUUGUCCUCUGAUCUACACACACAUGCCAUGGCACGUGCACAUCCACAUACAUUCUAGGACUCGCACAAACACAAACUGAAGAAUCACUACACAGCACAAAAAGAAGAAGACACAUUACACACCUUUCUGAUGUCCCUUUUGGCAACCAGGCCCCACCCUUUGCCAUCGGUCUUGAUGAUCUUGGUCUCCGGGUACUGGCGCUUAGUGAAACACUGGUUCUGGCAAUAUUCCCCUGCAGGGCACACCUGCGGGUGGCACUCAAACAUUAGCAUCCUGUUUAGACACUCUGAAUCAGAGCCACAGGGGUUCUCAUCCGUGGGCUUACAGUUGCAUUUUGGGAUUUCAGAAAUGUCAGCUGUAUAGAUCUGGACUUUACCAUAAGGUUUAUUCACCUGUAAGAGAAAAGCACGUUGCCAUAACUCUACUUUGUAAGCAGGCAGCCUGGACCCUGCACACUCAUACUGCCCCUCAAGGACCCACCUUGGAGACAUGCACCCUAAUAACCAUCACCGGACCCAAAGAGACAGUUUCUGAUAGACCUCUUAACAAACACACCUGCACUGUAUAAAAAUUCAGUAGUCCAAAAGUCACAUUCACUACUCUGCUGAGAACACGAACACACACGAACACACACACGAACACACACACGAACACACACACACACACACACACACACACACACACACACACACUCCUGACAGGCCCAGCACCUUGAUAUGCUUGUAUGGUGGAGGCUUUCUCUCACUCUCCUGUGUUUCUCGGGCUUCCCGCUGAAGUUUGAUUUCAUUAAAACGAGCUUCGGCUUCUUGCAAUGCUAAAAAGUCAACAGAAUAUAAGGAAUGCAUUUCAGUGAAUAAGUACAUCUAACAUUUAUGCCCCAUACUCAUUGCUAAGUACUGUUGUUGGUUUUCAGGAAGCUAUAGGCUAUGCAACCCGUGAAAAGACAAGUGAGUCUCUAGUGGCUAAGAGCUCAUCUGUGCCAGCUCAGCACAGUCCAGUUGUGUCUCUGUCAGGCUCUACCCAGUCUCUGUACUGAGCUCUAAGGACAAGGCUGGUGCUUAGAGCACACUGGACCAAGAAAAGAAGAGAACUUCUAUUUUCUGUGAAAGCAAAAGUGUUUUGACAAGAAGCUCUGGUUCAGAUCAGCAAAGGCUACAUCAACACCCAAAGCUCACAGACUGUCGAUGUCAUUUUGAGGCCUGUCAGUGGAUGGGCUAAGCUGGCAGCUGCUGACCGGUCAUUAGUGGGCCCAACGUAAGAGCAGGCAAUUAUCAGGAGUCAGCAGCCUUGAGUCCCUCUUUCAACAUUUGGAACCGUAUCAAACUCACUAAGUUGCCUCAGUCUCUACCUGAAUCUCUCCUUCCUGAUAAUUUUAAGAGUCUUUGGAUAGCGAUCCAUUCUUACUAAGACUUCUUGAAGCUCCCGAAUGUUGAGACAUCAGGGAAAGACAACAGGGUGUGGUUGCUUGGUGCCUGCUCAACUCUCAGCUGCAGGCAAGGAAACAACGGCUCCCAAGACACAGAUCUUCAUCUGCCAGGGCAAAGCCCAUCGGCCUGUCUUUAGUUCUCCCUGCAUGAGCCAUGGAAGCACUUUAAGCUUUUCCUACUAUCCACACUCGCUCUGCACUUAGAGAAAAUGCUCAUUUUUCCUGUGCAAAUGUCACACCUCUAUCUCCUAUUUCCUUCCUGUCAGACCAUGAUCCAGCUUAGCCACACUUUCUACACUCCAUCUCUCAGACUGUACAUUAGACACAGCAUUCCUGUCAGUCUGGUUACUCUGACACUGUGUAAGGCACACAAGGUCCCACUAUGUCUUCUGAAUUGAAAUGAAUCAGUAGCUGAGGUCUAACCAUGGGAAACCAUCUCCAGAGAUGCCACACAAAGGCCAGCUAUGAAAAAUAGCUAUAAUUAGGGCUAAAGAUAGUAUAUUUUAGAAAGCUUUAUUUCAGACAGGCAUGGUGCUACCACACGCCUUUAAUCUCAGCACUCCGGAGGCAGAAUCAGGCAGAUCUAUCUCUGUGAGUUCAAGGCCAGCCUGGUCUACAAAAUGAGUUCCAAGGCAGCCAGGGCAACACAGAGAAACCUUGUCUCAAAAAAAAAAAAAAAAAAAACAAGUUAAUAUUGGAAAAGUUAUUUAAUAGCUUAAGUAUACUUCCAUAAAUACAUCACCCUACAAAACCUUUUUUUUCCUAGUAUAAAAGUAGAAAUAAAAUAUUUAGUCCAAGAAUUUUUUAAAAUACCAAAUUUCAAAAGAAGAGAAAUUAAGAUUAACAAGCCACAAGAGAGUACCAUGUAUGCUCCACUGGUUAAUCUCCGUACCGUUCUUGAAGACUCUUCCAAUCCCUCUGACCCCCUGGUAGCGGCUGCCCCGGUCCCCCUCCAUGUAUGGGAACACUCGUGCCUGAUGCGUCCAGUAAUAAUCUUUAGACCCGAAGAAAAACACAGGGAAUUCUCCAAUCUCGUGCUUCAUUUUCUGAAUAUUUGGGGGAACAUUUUUGGGAUGGCAAACUUCUGCUGGCCACCAUCUAUAAUAAAUAUUAAAAACAGGAUUCACACAUUCUUUAGAGUGACAAACUUUUCAGUACUUAGCACUAUAAAACAAAACACAUUUGAACAAGAAGUCUCUGAGAAGCAUAAACGUUUCCCGCAUACCUGUAGUUCCCAAGUUUGACCCAAAUGAUGUCUUGAAAGUGGAGCUUCUUCCCAGCUCGGCAGUCAUUGCAGAACCAGCUGCCAUCAGGCAUCUCGAUGCUCAAACAAUCAGGGUGGAAGGCUGCCGGACAGGCCUCGCAGCACAGAAGGCUUCCCCCUACAGGAAGACAACAGGCUAGCCUGAGUGUGUCUGUCUCUCCAGGUCACAUUAGACCUUUUUUUCCUUGGUUUUCCCAAGCAGGGUUUUGCUAUGCAUCUGCCUGCCCCUGCCUGGGCUGAUGAGUACAGGGAUCGAAGGCGUGCACCACCACUGCCUGGCUAGGCUCUCCCUCUCCCUCAGCCUGUGACUGCCACAAACCCAACAGAAGCACGAGCAUCAGGAUAUCAACCCUGAGUCAACGCUCAAUGGCAUCACCAAAGUCACCUUCUUAAGUCCAUAUGACCCUCUUAGUGCAGAGGACUGAGGUGACACCUUCGGCCUCUGCUGAGCUGAUACACACAGAGCCCACCCUUACCUUUGGAGCACACGAAGCACCAGCUCACAUUGACAUGAGUGUGGUGCCGCUUCCCCUUGCGGGCAGUGAAGUGGCCUGUGCAGAUUAUGCUGUUAGAAGCAAUCACGGAACAUCCCGCUGCCAGGCAGGCAUCCCCGCCAUGAUAGGCGACAGGGCAUCGGACGCACCGCAUCAUUUUACCUGAAGGAAAUAACAUCCUGAGGACCACAAAUACUUUAUGAUGGCCAACAUCAUCAAGCCUAAGAAAACUGGAAAAUUUAAGAUGGCAGACUCUGGAGCUAUUUAGUAACAAUACUUUCCAGGUAGGCAAAGGUUUCAAAACAGUGUUUGAAAAAAAAAACACCAUUUAAACAUCACAUUCGAAAUCAGAGUCGACCAGCAUUUCUUAACCUAGUGCUGCUGUCAUUUGGGGUUUGGCCACUCUACCUACUAGAUAUUGACAGCAAAUUCUCCCUAAAUAUUGCAAAAUGUAUCUUGACAGAUCAGCCUUAUGACAAGGAUAAGGCUACACUCUCCAAUCCCACACAACGAGCCUUAUCUUUCACGUACAUAAUUUGAUUUAAAAAUAUUUCUGAAUUGAGGACGAAGUUCAGUGGUAAAGCACUUGCCUAGGGUUCUACCUCUUGUAUUACAAAAAAAUUUCCCUGAUAUAUGAAGUGCCUUUAAAAAUAAGCAAACAGAAUCCAGAAAUAGCUCAGGUAGUAUCCUUUGUUGAAAAUCAAAAAUUUGAAUGUGCUAACAGAUAUGGAAAGACUGGAAUGGAAGCAGGUCUUACGUUACGGGGGGAAAAAACACUUGACUCAUCUUGUGAUGAGUCAGCAGAAAAGCGGGAGGUUUUGGAGACUGUUAGAGCUCAUAAUCUGCUGACACGUGCUGGGCUUCAACCGGCCCGCUUUCAGAAGCACCCACACAUUGCCAGUGAACCCACACCCAAGUUUUAAGGGCGCAUCUAUCUGUACCUUUUGAUGGCCGCGGAUUUGAAGGGUUUGAGGCAUGGCAGCUCAUACAGCUGUGGAGAGGACAGCGAAAGCCUCGGCUCUCAAACACAGUGAGAGGGUAUUUUUUCACACAGGCUUCAUGGUAAAACUUUCCACAUUGGUUUACCAUACAGCGUUUCACCUCCAUCUUGCUUUCUUUACAUACGAAGCAUGAGUGAAUCCCUAACAAGUGGUAAAGAGAAGAUACAGGUACAGAGAACAAGAGUUAAAUUGCAGUUGUGAGCAACUGGCACAAGGCAGCUAAAGCUUCUAGCUGUCUCCAACUAUGACGACUAGUCUGAGUCUUCAGGAGAAACCCCAGUCAUCAGAGUUCACUGUCAUCUAAUCUCCAGCUUCACCUAAAUGCAAGAAGUCUUUCUCCUUCCUGGCCCACUCACCAAUAUAGCAAAGACUUGCUAUGGCUCUACAAAGACUAGUAUCUGACGUUUACUACUGCAGCACAGCUGCCUGGGCAGCUCGACUCUUCUUGGGACUAGUCAGUGGGGAGCAGGGGCUACUGUCCACUUCAACUUCUCACUGUGAUCCUAUGGUAGUCAGCUCCUCAGUUAACUUCUUGCUGAAAUUAAGCUGAGUUAGAUCGAGUCUUUGUAAAGAACUUAGAAUUCUACAAACACCAGUAUUCUCUGUCUACUAAUUAGACAGGACUGUUUGAAGGUGCAAUGCAACUGACCCGUGUAGAACAAGGCUCAGGCUAGCACCCAAAAACAUUUGGAGAAGUGCAUAGCCUUUUACCUCCUUACUCCACCAGUCACUGUAUGCUGAACUACUUUGUGCAGUGAUGCUGUGGUUCAAGUUAAUACAGCACAGUGGGAGAGCGGCUCAGAGGAAUCCCACACUUUGAGCCAGUAUGUGUAGGAUUUCUCUGCCAAAUGAGUCACCUGCAACUGAAGAAAGCACAGAACAGGACAGCAUAAACGUCCUGAUGUCCACAUAAACCCCCAGCCUUGGAAGCUGGGGCUUACCUGAGGCACAUUCAGUGCAGGUGAAUCUUCCUUCUGGUCUCUGGGAAAGUCCAAGGCAGGCUAAGUGGAAUGCUCCACAACAGGGGCCUUCACACAGUAAGAGACUGCCUGUCUUCUCACACAGCUGUGGGGAGCAGAGGGUAGCGUGAACAGUUGGGACCCUCCUCACCACAGGGGACAAUUUGAUUCUGUCUCUGGCAUGCCAAUGAGCAUAACCAGAGUGACUACAGACAGGUUAAGUUAGUUACAGUGUCAGGUCCUCAGCAAGAAACAUACACUCACGUUUUCAGCUCACAUGUGAAUGUCAAAAAUGAAACAGAACAAAUAAAAAACAAGACCCAUGGCAUAGUCCCAUUAUAAACAAGCCAUCCUUUCAAAGAUGGGAACAAUGGAGGCAUUUUCCAACUAUAAACGAAUCAGCAGCCCCACAAGGAUACUGACACAGACUACACCUCACAAUGGUGCAGGGACUAAAGCACAGAGAGGUGAGUAGCUUUAAGAUCACCAGCCCAUAAUCCAGCACAGGUAGGACACUGACCCAGGCAGUGCCACUGUAGGAAUCUGGAUCUAUUACACCAACCCAAACCAUGACUGCCUACCCAAUGAAUUAAAUAGGCAGCAAAGGCACCAUAUCACCCUAGCACCUUACCUCUUACAGCAUACACACACACACACACACACACACACACACACACACACACACACACACACACACACCUUGUGCUGUACAUGAAACACAUUCCACCUGGGAAUGAAUGUUAACUUAGGCAACUUAAUACCAGAAUUCUGCUGACACUCUAACUCUUCCAAACAGAUAUCUAUGAGUAGUAACGGGGCAAGAAGAAGAUGCUGGAAACUCAGUCUGCUGUUCUAGGACUUCAUGAGAAGCCCUCACCAAUAUAUCAUACACCGCCUACCCCUCACCUGACACACGUACUCCUUUUUGGCAGCCAUUCCUCUUUCAGAUUUCUUAGAUGAGACGGACGCUUCAGUCUGUGUUUCAUCUGCACUUUCAUACGGAGACUCUGACGGUUCAUCUCCUGGGUUGUCUGAGACCUGGAGAUGAAGGAGGUGAACCAUAGUUCACUAGCCACAGAAAACAGGUGGCCACAUCCUUUGGACAUGGCCCACUUCUUGCCCUAUCACCCAGUGGCUUUGGAAGUAAUAAAACUUGUAAAAGCUGCAUAGAGAACUUCAGAAGUGGACUUUAUUCUACUCAAUAUUUAAUACACAUAUGUACAUAAGACAUAUUCCUUUAAAUAAAGCAACUUAGGAAAAUGCAAUUAUCUCUAAGUAAACUAAUUUCUGGGAUAUUCUUGCCCUUUCUUACCGAAUAUAUUCAGACCCAAAUACCAGAUGAAUUUAAAAAAAAAAAAAAAAAGCGAAAUUGCAAAAAAGAUCUCACAGUAGCUGUUUCUCACUCUACUGAGGACACUGUGCUCCCCCAGAAGCAGGUUGCUCCCCUGGAACUGAUUCAAGAGUCAGGAAAGUCACUGACACACAUUGCAGCCUGACUGCUAACUGGUCCCACUCAAUUCAUCUGCUCUGCCCCACAGAAAGGUAAGAAAUAAUUUCUGCCUUCCUUAAUACUUGAAUCUAAGGAAAAGACUUGGGAGAAAUGGUAAAGAAAGCACCUAUCUUUCUGACUCCCUUCCACUGAACAGAAAUUAGGAUCUAGCUACAACCUUACCCUUGCUACACAAUUCAUCCUGUCCUCACUUGACAAGUACUACCAGUAAAUGUUUAAAUGUGAAAAUAGGUAGUCCUUUCAUCUAUCAAAUAGAAGUGCUUAAUUUUUUUUGUCUUUAUCUGAUCUUAAAAAGUGUUGAAAAUUGAAUUUUGGAGAUAAAACAAAGCCAAAAGAGUAUUAAUUGUUUCAUCUUUACCUCAAAAAACACAAAUAAUUAUGUUACAGGCUUAUUAUUUGCCAGUGAACACAAAGCUAGAUAGUGUAAUUAGGGCACAUUAAAAAACAAAAACAAACUCACCAGGGACUCUGGCCCAUUGAUUUUGCAGCCUUACUGAUUGAUGAGCUGUCCCUUUAUCUCAUUGAAAUUAUUGGGAGCAAUGAGAGAAAAAACAUGUAUUUUCUGAUCCGAACUCAGUGUUAAAGUGGGAUAAAUUAACAAGGACUCCGGUGGCUCUGACGGGCCAUUGGAGCAAGGGACAGCCUUAGUGUGAUUCCAUUCUAGUCUCACUAGACGCAUAGCAGCAAAAAUGUAACGAAGGAAUAAACACAGGCCUUUCGAUGUAUUUUCUCACCUUUUUCAGGAAGAUGGAAAUAGCAUGAAGAACACUAGCUUAAUGUCACAGCGCAAGGUCUGUCACCAGGAGGCUCACUAGUUGGAACUACAGGGCCCAUUGCCAAUCCCUCUCCCAUCAGCUCACCUCCCACUUCUUUAACAUCAACAUCCAGAAAGAGGCAACGUGAAAUGCUCAGAGUUCAAACUCCAAAUUUAAUACAUCCAUCAGAUAUGAGGGUCACAGGUGGGGUCUGAGUACUUCUGAGAUGAGACAGGAGAAAGUACUAGGGAAGCCCAGGGCCUCAGGAAGCAGUGGCCACAAAGCUUGCCCUGGCUCAGAGAGCAGCUCCCAUAGCCCCACAAGGAUGACCCAUCUGACUAAUGGAGGAACUGAGACCCAAAGGGUGUUUAGCACAUCAUCCAUGGAAGAGAGCCCAUGCUCCAUCCACCAACCCACUUCUUCCCUCAGUGUGGAUAAAACAAUUUUCAAAACUAUAAAAAGAGAAAGGAAUGGAAAGAAAGACAGAAAACACAAACCAGUCCUGGGUCAGAGGAAGGAACAGCACCUUUUAUUUAAGAUUUACAGAAAGUUAGCACGUUUCCACUUGGAGAUAUUUCCUAAAUUAACAAAGUCUGUUUGAGGAAAUAAACACUGAAUACACAUUUCGAAUGGAAAUAUAAAUGUUAGCGACACACAUAAGGCUCGUUUCCUGAUUGGGUCUGUUAUCCACAUACAGAAUAUAGACCUUACAAUAUCACAGUUCAUGACAGAUUGUGGAAGGUCCACUUUCACCACAUCCUCCCCCACAAAUGGACACACCCUACCCGGCCCAGAGGCCCUCAGCUCUCUGCUCAGCAAACCACCUGCAAGUAGAGUCAAGUGUGCGCCUCACUCCAGCGGCAGGCUCCACCUCCAUGUGCACCACGUGACAGCUUACUUGGAGAUGCCAUUUGUGGAAGUGACAUAUCACCACCUGUAUGGUCCCAACACAGUCCCAGACCUCAGUCUACAACAUCUAUAAUCUAUUCAGUAUCCAACAGGAUGUAUUUGGAAAAAGAAAAAUGCAGUGACUGAUGGGACACAGACUGUCAAGAAUUUUCCUGUGGCUUCCUGUGUCCACCAAGGUCAUGCUUGUGGCACUGAUUUCCAAGCAGCUUAGUUCCUGACUUUCCAAAGUUUUCUUGAGUCUGAAAUACUUUCUCCACUCUCUACUUGGUAUGUGAUCGUGCCGAGGUGCCUACCUGCCUCAGACACACAUUCCUUCAGGGACAGGAAGUGUGGUCUCGUCUAUCACAGGGAGUUCAAGCAAGAUGGCAUUACCAAACAUCACAUGACCCAGUAGAAGUCUUCCAACCCACUGCCAGGAGCUAUGCGGCCAUCAGAAAGGCUCAAUAACUGUGACUGUGGUUUACCCGACUGUGGCCACAAAGCAGACCCCUGCCCUUCUGUGGGCUGAUACACAUUGAGGUUUUAACUUUUUUGACAAAACAAAUCCCUUCACAAGUUGAAUACUACAUCAUUUUAAAAUACAAUUACAGACCUUGAACAAUAAAUAUUUCUAGAACCAACAUUAUUUUCAUGUUUUAAGUUAUGCUUUCAUAAAGGAAGACGCAUAGAAGUGCGUUCACAGACGGUUUUAGAUUUACAAAUGAUAAGAAUCCUGUGCUCAGCAGAUAUAAUGGUCUAAAAUUAAGACUAAUCUUCAGCAGGUCUUCCAAGUUAACAUCACAGUGAAGUAUUAAGAGUGGAAUUAAGACAAUUUUAAAUUAAGUCAACCAUUCUAAAAUCCUAGAAUUCAAAAUAAUUUUUAUUAGAGUUUGCACAGACUAGAACCCUCCUAGCCGAUCCUAAUUCAAAGCCAGGUAUGAGUUACUGAGGACAUGAAAGAGGGGGGAAACCCAAAAUACAAAAAAACCUUUUAGUCCACAGAAUGUCAUUGUGCUUCAUAGUCAUUUAAUCUAAAGUCGGCUUCUACACAGUUAGCGUAAAAGGAAAGCAAAGUCUAAGUGAGGGAUGUGGCCACUCAGCCAUACAGCUGCUGCUCCCAUAAAGGCAUGCCCUUAUCCAAAGUUAAGUGAGUCCUAACUGUUCUACUGACUCAACCAUGUCCCAGGUGUGUCCUCAGAAGCAGCCAUCCCUUGGGAGCAGGCUGCGGGGGAGCCUGGUCCACCCAGCUGCAGCAACAGGCCAUCUGUCCUCAUGUGAAAGGCUUGAGGACAGAGGAACAGCCAGCCCACUUGCUUCCUUAGCUCAUGUGACUGGCAAUGCCCCUGUACCAAAACUAGGACUCCACCUGAUCCUAGUUGUUUUUUAAAAGUAGAAUACCCCUGAAAUGCUAGCAUGUUUAAAAUACUGUCAUAGUUAUUUGUUAAAAGCUGGACAACUACGUAGGCUAGAAAAAAUAUAUAUAUAAAUGUGGAUACAGCACACAGGACUGACGAGAUGAGAUGCAUCAGGUUACUGAAAGUACAUCCUUGUUAGUUACACCCCAGAAAGCAUUUCCCUUACCACGGUCAAACAAGGAAAAAUGAAAAUAUACUUUUCUGUGUACUAAGGAUGACCAUUUUCCUUCACUGGCAGAAAAAUUAGUGGGGGAAAAAAAUCUAAUAUUCUAAGUAAAACAAUAAAAAAGUUCCUAAAGAAACAAAGUCAAUUGCAAUUACCAAAAAUGCUAAAAUACAUAGGAAUCAAGAUUUUUUAAAACAAAACCCAAAACCUUUCUGUCAGUAUCAGUUAGAAGCAUUAAAAGCUCUGAUGUUAGGAAAGCCCUCCGCUUUAUUCUAGCAAAAGAAAACUUGGAAAUUAUCUCUGAAAUAUAAACACAGUCCUUGGAACUGAUUUUUCAAAAAGUGGAUAAUGGGUUAACUGAGGCUAAAAUAAGGUGCUGCACACUAAACUUCCCAAAGGGCCUGGUCCCUAACAGAAGUCCACUUGGACAUCAGGAUGGAAGGUGGAUCAGCAACCUGUAUGUCUGAGUAUGUGUGAGACCUACUGACCUUAGAGUCAAAUGACAGAGAAAGAAAGCAAACUAAGGGCCACUGACCCUAUAGUUAACCUGCCACUGGACAAACAGUUCCUAAAGAAGGGGGCGAUGACCUCACAGGACAGCUCGGGCCCACCAGAGCAACUGAGGCCAACAAAGAACCACUCAGUCGGGGUUCUUCGUUCUGCCCAAGUGAGCUAGGAGCUUAUAAAGAACACACACCAGUGCUGAAGGACAGACGGAAGGCCAGUUCUGGCCCUCACUCCAGGCUAUAUGAGAUCCCUUGUCAGGAGCACUCUUUAAUCAUUUAAAUUUUACACAAACACAGGCGUCAUUCUUUGAGGAAUGAUAUAUUUACUUAUCAUCUUUAUUUCCUUCUUUUUGUGUUAUUUAUGUUAUAGACUCUUAAUAGGUGCCAGUCACCUAUAUCAUCCAGUCAGCCCACAGACUCCAGAUACAACCCCGGGAUGAGUCCAUGAAGUCUCAGACAUGUGGUUAUCAGGUUAGGUUUUGUUAGGUUUUUUCUUGCUUUUCUUGUGACAUGUUCUUUCAUUAAUGAAAAGGCCCCGUCCCUCAUCUGGCUCCCAGCCCCAGAGAACCCUGUUUUAAGUUUUCUGGUGCUUCUGCAUGAACUCAAUUAAUCCCAUUAUAAAUAUAACCUGACUGGGAGACCAACUUAAAAAUCCGUCCACUCAUGCCAGCAGCAGGCUGUUCUACACCUCCUCAGAGGCAGUGGAUGGGAUGGCUGCCUUCCUGCAUGGAGCAAGGACUGUCUCAUCUUAGAGCCUGUGUUUUACUUCCUUGUCAUGAUUAGAUUUCAAGUUGGUUUUCAGGAUAUCCUCUUAAAAAUACUGAAGUUGUCUUCUAUUGGGAAACAGAAAUGUAAAUAGCUAUGAAUACUAAAAACCAUUUUGAGCUACAACUACACUUAAAGGCAUCAUGACCAAAAGACAACAUUCACUUUUCAUCAACGCUGAGGAAAAGCUGCCAGGAAGGGAGGAGUCCACCUGCAGCAGAGGGGCUGAUGAGGAGGAGCACCUGAAGACCUGGCUGCUGAGCACGGGUCUCCAUCCAGUUCAUGGACGCCCUGGUGCACUGCUCUGUUACAACAGCUACAGUGCAAACCUUUGUACAUUCAUUCACAUAAGUCUUCACCUAGUUAGAAUCAGAGCCUUAUACAGAAAGCUACCUCCCCUUGCCAAGCAAAUACAGUAUACAAACAAUAGUUUGAAGGCAGCCAAAUAGAAUCAAGUGGCAAUAACUGUUUAUACGGCAAAAGCGAAACUCAUCUCAUCAGCGGGCAGUUCAGAAGACCUAAGGCUAGAGGUAGCACUGCUUUUUUGACAUCUUUAUAGAAAAUGAAGGAAUUCCAUGUUAAAUUUAUAGCAUAAUAAAUUUGUCACAUAAUUUUUGUACUCUUAGCAGACAAGCUGUUGCUUCUUGCUAGACUCUUUUAAACAAGAGUCUCUUUUCUACUCACCUCUUUGAGGAGAGAGCAGCCAUGAGCUGACACAGAACUCUGCUUAUUUCCUGUAAGACUACCACUGGUCUCUGGGGCAGGAAAAUCCUGCAUGGAGGACUUUCACUCCACAGUCACUGCAGAAUGCAGAGGACCUGCUCCAACCCCUGGUCCCAAAGUGAGUUCUGUCUUCCUCAGUGAAAGAACAUUCCAGGAUCCUGCCCUUGUCCCCUCAUACUCUCGAAUCUCAAAUAGGUACUAACUAUGCCACUCUGCGAACAUCACCAUUAAUUCUGAAGUCCUCGCUUCCCCAUCGCAGAGCGAAGUGCCUAUCCUUAGCUGCUUCCUGGACACCCACUCAAAAUUCAUCAUGCUCUAAUUUCCAAUGAAAUCCCUUCAUUUCUGCCCAAGACCUUCUGGGAUAGUAUCUUUACUUUUGAGAAAUCACUUAUUAAACCAGGGCCAUUUCUACAUCAUCAUAAUUUCUUCAUACUUUUUAAUUUUGUAAUUUAUAUUUUAGUUUUUUUUUUAUUUACCUGAGAUCUUUCAUGUCUGUUAAGAACAGUACAACUUAGAAUGUUCACACUAGGUAUUCUCUGAGGUCAUGUCUCUAAAUACAUUUAAGCAGAGCCAGCUAAGUGACUUACCAGACCACAACCUCAUAGUCUAAUACCCUCCUGUGUCACACAAACAGAGCUAGGGUUCUGCUACUUCUGGAUUUAUUUUUUUCCGCACAUGCAUGAUGCAGUCAAGGGAAUCAUUUUUCAUGCCAAAGCAAAAUUUAUACUUUUGGAUAAAAAUAGAAUGAUGGUGAUUUUAUUAUUUUUAUUGUAAUAACCAUUACUGUCACAAUAGUGAACCACUGAGUCCUUGCACGGUGCCAGGCACUCUACGUGUUUUACAUGCGUUACAUUACUUAAUGGUUUGGAACAAAAGUAUUUCUCAGAAACUUUCAUCACAGGUCCAACACUGAGGUGUCUGUGUGGAACGGCCUGGGCACCGCUCACACAUCCCGUGCAUAGCACAAGCUCUGCUUCUUGAGCUAAGGGCAGGUGGAGCCUUUCCUCCCAUGCAGACAUGCGGGCCCCUGGGUAGCCCCAGCUGGACAUCCAGGACCACAACAUUGAAAACAUGAUGCUGAUGCUCUACAAAAGCAACUGAUGAUGUGGUUGUUGUAAGUAAACUGAUUGUGGUGUCUUCUAGAUAUCAGUGACUAGAUCAACAGUUGAAUGGUUCACCAUGAUACUAUUAAUCGUAUGUUCCCCUAAAAAUCUACUGGGUCUAGUGUCAUAGUAAAACUGUCAAGUAAAAAAAGGACAGAAUCAAAAUUCUUCCUGCCUUCUGUGUGGGAAAACUGGUUUAUUAUCUACAAUACUGAAUACAUUUCAUUGGCAAUGAAAAUAGCUGACAAAGAACCUUUAAUGUGUCCUGCUUGUUCUUUCUUACUGAUAGAACAGAUGCUGACAUUUUCCAUAAAAAUUGAGUAAGUUAUGGAUCAGAGGAAAAAAUGAGCAUUAACAGGAUAACCCUUCAACAUGGUGCAUUGUCAAUUGUCUGGGCAACCUCAAUUGAAGGGCCUCCUCCUCAACGUGAACUUUAGACUGAUCAUUAGAAUAUGAAUGUGUUUCUAUUAUGGGAUGAAUGUGAUUGAUUAAAUGGCCUUGAUUGAGUAUCUUACCUUGGUCUUAAAAUUUGUUAUCUGUUUUCUUCAUUGUAUGUGUUUAUUAAUACCAGUAAAAACAGAUUAUCACACAUCUUCCAUAAAAUGAUUGUGAUAGAAAUGUCACUUAGUGUAUACGAUGAGGCACCACCUGCAGCAGACAUCUUGGGGUAUUACAUCAUUCUAAGUGCAGUACAGGGCGGCUGAGUUCAAGUCCAACUUGACUGAUGUGGGCUCCCAUAAAAGCUGUUACCAGUGAAGGCGAAAAAAAUAAGAAUUUGCUCUACUAAGGGAACAAAAAAUGAAGUUACAAAACACUUAUAUCACAUCAAUUCCUUCACAGGCCUUUGUCAUGCAAGUGUGCAAUUUUAAUCUCUUCAUUGGGGUGAUGUAAUAUCAUGUAAUAAAUAAUUAUUCCAAUAUAAAUUUAUCAUACAUUUUUAAGAACUUAAACUACAACAUGUCUUGAAUACCAACCCUACAUAAUCCUCUUUCUUUCAAUCAAGUGUGGUGAAGGGGAAAAAAUACAAACAUGCAGAACCUAAGUGUCCCAAAGUGAGGAGGGAGUCUGACCCCCAAACAGUAAUUUCACAUCAGAACCAGACUCGGUCCCCACAGCUCACGUGUUAGCAGGCACUCAGCACUACACACUCAUAAACUCACUGUGCGGUUAGUAGUGCUAAUGCAUAUAGAUAAAUCUACUUGGUCACCUAAAGUUUUUAAAUUAACAGUGCAACUCUAUAAAAUAAGCUACAAUGGAAUAUUUACACAUAAGUAACCUAAUAGAGAAGGUCUAGAAAGUUAAAUUAUUUUAUUUAAGGAACAAAAAGUAAGAUUUAUAUAUCCCCUUAAAAAUGUAAGAAGGGAUUUGAAUCCAAUACAUUUCCAACAUAAAAGAAUGUACUUAAAUCAUCUAUCAGCCUCUGAUAUUGCAACUAAGUCUUGUCACAAAAUGCUCCACCUUAGCCUUUCCUGGUGCAGACUACUGAGCAGCACCAGCAACUGCUCUCUCUCCCCCUCACCGUUUUCACCCUCAAUAUCAAUACUGAUGACCAGGAAUAAUAGAUACAAGUUCAGUAACUCGAUAAUUUUCUCUCUCCCUUGUCCAACAACAGCAUACAUAAAAUACCAACCGGAUAAAAAGAUCAAAAUAUAAAGCAAGAAAAACUUGUUUGAAAAAUUUCAUAGGCUGUAACUCAGAAAUAGGACAUUUGCCUGGACUCACAAAUCCCUGGAUUCUAACCCCAGCACUCUAAAAAAAAAAAAAAAAUCAUAAAUGGAAAGUCCAACUUUAAUGCCCAAAUGAAAGGGUUUCUAUAACAGAAACCCUUUCAUUUUUAAUAUGGUUAACUUGAACUGUAGACCAUCUUUAACUUUCUAAAAUGCUAGUAUAAAUAUGGGUAAAAGAAAAAUGAAAAAUAAUUUAUAUAAAACUAGCCUUUUCGUAUUUCAGUAACAUUUUAGAUAGAAGCUCAGCAGCGAAGUAUAUAAGAAAUGCUUAGUUUUCUAUAUAUAACAACUAUAAGGAAGUCCCAGUCCCAUGAGUAUGAACACUUUAGAUUAUGACUGAGGUCCCACUAAAUGAACAGUCUAAAUUUACACCAUACUUCAGAGCAGUGAGCAACAGAGUUCUCAAGGGUGUUCCUUGGGCCACCCAGGUCCCUAACCAUCAUGCAGUGGAAGGCCCAGCCCACCACCAGUAAAAAGAAGAGCAAGGACACACCCAACCCUACUAGGGGACACAGGUCAGAUCAGGUCAGAUGAGAAGAGCUCCUUCUGAUCCAUAAGGAGAAAGGGGCCUGCCUACUUCCCAUCUCACUAUCCUGCUAAUGAAGACCAAAGUUACAACUCCUUACAAAUACUGUGAAAAUAAAUCUCCAGUCUACAAUGAGAAAAAAAAAAAAAAAAACCAAAAAACAAAA